rnacentral:lncRNA from 1 species
AAGCCCCACUGAAGAUGGUGAAAGUGAAGAGGCAGAAGGGAGAUGACCACCAUUCAAAGAUGCAAUGAGAAAUGCAGAAGGACCAGGGGGACAGCAGGAGCUUCAGCUGAGCCACAGGGAGCAGGAGUUGGAGAAGAGAUGCUGAACUGGAAUUGGGCAUCCAGUGACAGAUGCAGGUGCAGGGGUAGAUCCAGAGGAGUCCAGUGGUGCAGUCAUGGCCCCAUGUUCAGACCACACUGCAGGAGAAGAAGCUGGGGACCUUUUUUUAAGUCCCUGAGUCAGGUAAGGAUUCUCCCCCUACCCCCCUUCCACUCCAUACUUGGCAGCACUUCUCCUCCCAUUGCCCCUUUCCCCUUUCAGUGUUCCUGGGGGAGGGAGCUCCAGAGUCUCUCCUGCCAGCUGCAGCUGGGCUGCACAGGGAUCUGGUCUCAUCUGGGAACAGCAGCUGUAGCAGCAUCAGGGAGGCUCAUCCUUCCUGCCCCAUCCCCUCCAGUGUUCCCCACCAGGCACAAGGAGAGAGAACCCCCUGCCAUCAUCACUACUGUUGUCCCCUGCUAAUCCCAUCUCCCUGUGCAACCUGUGGCGGGCCAGUAGGGGGCACUCCUGCGUUGAGCCGCCCACCUCCUUGCGCCCGCCCACCUUCCAGGCUCCGAAUGCCUCCCUAGGGGCGCCUUAUGUCCGGCCGACCCCCUUCCUGGAGCACACUCACUAGCCUGGGGGUAACGUAGCUGCCACCACCUCGAGAAUGGACUCACUCUCGGCCCUGUGUCCUUGGGGAAACACAGGCCUAAAGUCCUACGGGUACUCGACCCAGUACAGGCACUUGGGGCACUUCCCCAAGUCCGGGGGCAAAAAGUAAAGUCUCCCUUAGUCUGCAGACCUAAGGGGUCUCUUAGGCAUAAUUUAGACCUACUCCUCAAUAAGUCUCCCACACCGGUCACAAAGGAGAACUUUAUUGAUUACAGGGGUAGGGUGAAAAUAGGGUACAAGAUUGAGCAAUAUCCUAGAAAUCCUAAAGAGCAAACAGUCUGGCUGAGGUAGCCUUUUGAUCAUGCAUCUGAGUUACUGCCAGCUAGAUAUCUAAUCAGAUCUCGAGUAGCUUAC